CUUCUUGUCACAUUAAGGGCUCUGGCAAACAGGUUUAAUAUUCGUGGAAUGAACAGAAUUAUUGACAAGCAGAGGAGGAACUAGACAGCAAGUGAGCAUCAUAUUAAUUUUUCAAAGCUUGAUAUUGCUUUUCCUGCUGACAGUGCAACAAACUUCCAAGGCUGGCAUUGCUGAAGCAAGGUUGGGUAGUGGUGGCUUGUUUCUCCUUGAUCUUGGUUUUCUGCUAUUCUGUCAAGUUGGAGGAGAGAAGGGAAGAGGGAGAAAAAUUGUGGUGGCUCAGAGCUCCACGUUUCCUUCAUGUGCAGCUGCAGACAGUGCAAACCUUGGGCUUGACACAGGUGUCACACUUUUUAUGUCAUUUUUAUUAGUGUCAUUUCCAUCAUUUAUUUUCACACCUGUAGCAGAGCUGCUCUUGGUUUCCAUCACAGGAGAGGGGAAGAAGGGGCAGUCCCAGGAGAGCUGUCCAGGGCACACAGCUGGGAGUUAAUCCCAUAUUUCCAUCCAGCUGAGAAUCUUUGGUUGCAUCAGUGACUGGAAUGGAGUUAAUCUUGAUUUACCCAGGAGACAGAAGGGGUAGAAUUGAGCACAGCAAGCUGAAUCCUAGAAUAGAAAAAGGCCACUGGAAAGGGAAAGAGAGUGCAAGGAGGAAAAGCUAACACCUCGGCCUCUGUGAUUCUGUCUUUGCAGGUCCCUCAAGCAACAUAACCAUAAACAGUCUCUUCAAAAAAUGUGAAUACUGUGCUCCUUUCUGACAGUUUUCCCCCCAGUUUCGUCCUGUCUUUACAAGGAGCUGGGGAAGAGAAAUAUUUAAUGACAGGUUUUGAUAUUUUAAUGUAGGCUCUUGGUUAAAACACCACAAAUCUCUCUGUGAAAGGGCAAUAGAAUUACAAAAGAAUGUGUUGCAGCAAGUGAGAAGUUGGUUGGAAGGGGGAAGGAAGUGGAAAGAGGCAAAGCUGCAAAACCCAUGGAGUAUCUUCAGGUGGAAAUCACCACUGACUCAUUUCAGGAGCACCUUUCCAGAGCUUGCUGGGGAGGAAAACCAGGCCAGUUUGGUGUUCUACCCUUCACUUUCUGUAAGGGCAGAGUUCCCUGCUGCUCUUUCCAAGGUAAAAAAGGGACCUUUAUUUUUCUGACUCCAACAUUUAUAGAUUUCCAAAAGUGACAGUGGAUUGGAGGGUGACAGUGCCGCCUCUCCAAUGACACUGGACAAACCAACAGUCCAUCAAAUUUCUCCUCA
rnacentral:lncRNA from 1 species